rnacentral:rRNA from 1 species
UGGGGAAUUUUGGACAAUGGGGGCAACCCUGAUCCAGCAAUGCCGCGUGUGUGAAGAAGGCCUUCGGGUUGUAAAGCACUUUUGUCCGGAAAGAAAUCCUCUGGGUUAAUACCCCGGGGGGAUGACGGUACCGGAAGAAUAAGCACCGGCUCACUACGUGCCAGCAGCCGCGGUAAUACGUAGGGUGCGAGCGUUAAUCGGAAUUACUGGGCGUAAAGCGUGCGUAGGUGGUUUGUUAAGUCUGAUGUGAAAGCCCUGGGCUCAACCUGGGAACUGCAUUGGAAACUGGCUUACUAGAGUGCGGUAGAGGGGUGUGGAAUUCCCGGUGUAGCAGUGAAAUGCGUAGAUAUCGGGAGGAACAUCUGUGGCGAAGGCGACACCCUGGACCAGCACUGACACUGAGGCACGAAAGCGUGGGGAGCAAAC